rnacentral:rRNA from 1 species
AGAGUUUGAUCCUGGCUCAGGAUGAACGCUGGCGGCGUGCCUAACACAUGCAAGUCGAGCGCGAUUAGACGGACUGGAGACUUCGGUCAAAGGGAAGACUAUGAAAGCGGCGGACGCGGGCGGGUGAGUAACGCGUGAGCAACCUGCCCUGUACAGGGGGAUAGCCACUGGAAACGGUGAUUAAUACCCCAUAAACCCACAAGACCGCAUGGUCAAAUGGGCAAAGCCACAAGCGGUACAGGAUGGGCUCGCGUCUGAUUAGCUAGUUGGUGAGGUAACGGCUCACCAAGGCGACGAUCAGUAGCCGACCUGAGAGGGUGAACGGCCACACUGGAACUGAGACACGGUCCAGACUCCUACGGGAGGCAGCAGUGGGGAAUAUUGCACAAUGGGCGCAAGCCUGACGCAGCAACGCCGCGUGAAGGAUGAAGGCCUUCGGGUCGUAAACUCCUGUCCAGGGGGAAGAAGAAGCAGGGCUAACACCACGGUUGUUUGAUGGUACCUGAUGAAUAAGCAACGGCUAACUCCGUGCCAGCAGCCGCGGUAAUACGGAGGUUGCGAGCGUUGUCCGGAAUUACUGGGCGUAAAGCGCGUGUAGGCGGUUUGUUAAGUCUGGUGUGAAAGCCCUGGGCUCAACCUGGGAAGUGCAUUGGAUACUGGCAAACUUGAGUACGGGAGAGGAUAGUGGAAUUUCGAGUGUAGGGGUGAAAUCCGUAGAUAUUCGAAGGAACACCGGUGGCGAAGGCGGCUAUCUGGACCGAUACUGACGCUGAGGCGCGAAAGCGUGGGGAUCAAACAGGAUUAGAUACCCUGGUAGUCCACGCCGUAAACGAUGGGUACUAGGUGUUGCGGGUAUUGACCCCCUCGGUGCCACAGCUAACGCAAUAAGCACUCCGCCUGGGGAGUACGGUCGCAAGACUGAAACUCAAAGGAAUUGACGGGGGCCCGCACAAGCGGUGGAGUAUGUGGUUUAAUUCGACGCAACGCGAAGAACCUUACCAAGGCUUGACAUCGCGUCAGCUAUGGAAACAUAGUCUUUUGCCUUCGGGUGAACACGGAGACAGGUGGUGCAUGGUUGUCGUCAGCUCGUGUCGUGAGAUGUUGGGUUAAGUCCCGCAACGAGCGCAACCCUUAUCAUUAGUUGCCAACAAGUUAUGUUGUGCACUCUAGUCAGACUGCCGUGGUCAAAACGGAGGAAGGUGGGGAUGACGUCAAAUCAUCAUGCCCCUUAUGUCUUGGGCUACACACGUACUACAAUGGCCUGAACAGAGGGAAGCAAAACUGCGAAGUUAAGCGAAUCCCAAAAGCAGGUCCCAGUUCGGAUUGUAGGCUGCAACUCGCCUACAUGAAGUCGGAAUCGCUAGUAAUCGCAGGUCAGCAUACUGCGGUGAAUACGUUCCCGGGCCUUGUACACACCGCCCGUCACACCACGAAAGUUGGCAACACCCGAAGCCGGUGACUCAACCCGUAAGGGAGAGAGCCGUCGAAGGUGGGGUUAGUAAUUGGGGUGAAGUCGUAACAAGGUAACC